UCCCUGGAAAAAUGCAGUGUGGAUUUUCCGAAUCUUGAGCAGUACGUUCAUUCUACAUCUUAAGUUUGUUAUUUGGAAGCAUAAUAGUCAGUGAAGCACAUGUCCUACAGACUCGGGGAAUUUCAGCUGCUAAGCAUGCCAAAUAUGUAUAAUUGCACUAGAUCCUGUGCUAAUAUCACCCACGAGAAGCGACGUCAUCAGGAGCGACAUCGAUGGUAGCGCGUACAUCCUUUGAGAAGAGAUAGAAGAAGCUAGCGAGGAGAGAGAGACAUACAUAUAUGUAUUGGGGUAAGGAUUAGCAAUGGAUUAGUACGCCGUUACUACAACGCCAUAUAUUUGGUUGACCGUGAGUCUAGGGUUCAGUUUUGAUUGAGCAGUGACUCGGGAAGGAGUGUUUCGUUUGAUCUACAUAUUUUAAAGAAGUACUUGACAAUCGGUAGCUACUGAAAGACCUAUAUCAUUGAAAAUUCUGUGAAUUCCGUAACUCGGAGAUUUUUCCAUAAGCACUGAUUCAUAGUUGACAGACAUCAAAGAUGCCUAGUCCUUCCCGAUACGGUUCAACUUUCAACUACUGUCCCUAAGUCGUGCUGAAACAUUCGUAUAAGACUUCCAAUCAGUCAUCACGGUGCCUAGUUCAUCGCAGUACUCAUUCAACUUCCAACCACGAAGGGCAGGAGUUACAUGGCAUCGCACAAUUCGUUUACAGGUACUCCGAGAUGCUGUUACCGCAGUUAUGACCCCCUGGACUUCCCCUGAUAAACAGGGG